rnacentral:rRNA from 1 species
AGCAAUAUGUGGCAUACGGCUCAGUAACACGUAGUCAACAUGCCCAGGGGACGUGGAUAACCUCGGGAAACUGAGGAUAAACCGCGAUAGGUCAUCACUUCUGGAAUGGGUAAUGACUUAAAUCUACAUGGCCCCUGGAUUGGACUGCGGCCGAUCAGGCUGUUGGUGAGGUAAUGGCCCACCAAACCUGUAACCGGUACGGGCUCUGAGAGGAGGAGCCCGGAGAUGGGCACUGAGACAAGGGCCCAGGCCCUAUGGGGCGCAGCAGGCGCGAAACCUCUGCAAUAGGCGAAAGCUUGACAGGGUUACUCUGAGUGAUUUCCGUUAAGGAGAUCUUUUGGCACCUCUAAAAAUGGUGCAGAAUAAGGGGUGGGCAAGUCUGGUGUCAGCCGCCGCGGUAAUACCAGCACCCCGAGUGGUGUGGAUGUUUAUUGGGCCUAAAGCAUCCGUAGCUGGCUAAGUUAGUCCCUUGUUAAAUCCACCGAAUUAAUCGUUGGAUCGCGGGGGAUACUGCUUGGCUAGGGGACGAGAGAGGCAGACGGUAUUUUCGGGGUAGGGGUGAAAUCCUAUAAUCCCGGGAAGACCACCAGUGGCGAAGGCGUCCGACUAGAACGGAUCCGACGGUAAGGGACGAAACCCUGGGGCGCAAACCGGAUUAGAUACCCGGGUAGUCCAGGGCGUAAACGCUGCAGGCUUGGUGUUGGGGAUCCUACGAGGAUGCUCAGUGCCGGAGUGAAGAUGUUAAGCCUGCCGCUUGGGGAGUACGUCCGCAAGGAUGAAACUUAAAGGAAUUGGCGGGAGA